AGAGCGAACGCUGGCGGCAGGCCUAAUACAUGCAAGUCGAACGAACCCUUCGGGGUUAGUGGCGGACGGGUGAGUAACACGUGGGAACGUGCCUUUUGGUUCGGAACAACUCAGGGAAACUUGAGCUAAUACCGAAUGUGCCCUUCGGGGGAAAGAUUUAUCGCCAUUAGAGCGGCCCGCGCCUGAUUAGCUAGUUGGUGGGGUAAAGGCCCACCAAGGCUACGAUCAGUAGCUGGUCUGAGAGGAUGAUCAGCCACACUGGGACUGAGACACGGCCCAGACUCCUACGGGAGGCAGCAGUAGGGAAUCUUGCGCAAUGGGCGAAAGCCUGACGCAGCCAUGCCGCGUGAAUGAUGAAGGUCUUAGGAUUAGUAAAAUUCUUUCAGCGGGGACGAUAAUGACGGUACCGCAGAAGACGCCCGGCUAACUUCGUGCCAGCAGCCGC
rnacentral:rRNA from 1 species